AAAAGCUUUCCUUUUCUAUUUUCCAUUUUUACCCUCCAAUCCUGGGAAAAAAUAAACAGCUCUCAUAAUGAAAUCUAUCAAGCAGGUGCAUUCACCAAGUGAAGAAGAAGCGGCGUCAACGAGAAACAACAAUAAAGAAGAAGAACGGGGUUAAUUCUGAAAAUUCUAUUUUUGUUUCAACUCAUUUGGUAAGAAUUUUUUUGAAUUUGUCUCGAGGAAAAGAUAUUGUAUAGUGUUCACUUAUUAUGUUAUAUCCAUUAUAUAGUAUUUCUACUUGGAUGAAAGUUGAUUUAUGCCUACUAUUUGGAAAAUUGUACAGAUUUUAAUAAUUAUUCAGAGCAAACCUGAGGCGUUGACUGGAGUUAGAAAAAAUUGCUCUCAAUUUGUCGAAAGCAAUGUGAUACUCACGUAAAUUUUGUAAUCUUGAAAUUAAACAUCAGCUUAAAGAGGGUUUGGUUUUAAAUUUCAGAUCUCAUCUUCUUGAGUUGCCUAAGAAUUUGAAUUCAACCAUGAACAUCUGUGACUUUGGAUGCUAAUUGUUCUAUGUUUUGUGGGGAUUGGAUUGUUGAUGUUAAAAACAAAUUAACAAAUAAAAGACUCUUUUAGGUUUCAGGAGUAAUAUCGGAGCUUAUUUGUUUGAAUUUAAGUUAUAGGUGUAGUUACUAGUUAUAUUGCAUCUGGAGGUUAAUUGACUUAAUUCUAUAUGGAUAGUGAAGUAAUAAAAGGACUAAAUUACAUCCCUAUUUGAAUACCAAAAUGACAACAUUUUAAGAUUAUAUGAAUUAUGGAUAAAUUAGAAUUUUACGGUGCACUAAAUGGAAGAAAAAUUUUGGGUGAGUUUUGAAUAUGCAGAGUAUAUAAUACAUUCAUUGAUUUCUAGAAUAGUUGAGAAAUAUUUUAUUAUCAUGCUGCAUUAAGUCUCUCAACUUGAGCCUUAUCUAGCUCAAAAUUUGUAUAAUAUAACUAAAAAGAGAAAGCACAAAGAAAUUAAUUGAUCUCUUGUCUUGCUAGGAAACAUUUCCUAAGGAAAUUCUUGGAUAUUCUUUGCCAGCUUGAUACCCUAGAACUAUUUUUCUAGUUGCAAAUGCAAAGACUUUGAUCCACCUUCCCGGACAGGGAAGAGAUGAAAAGCUCCAAACAUUCGGUAAAACUUCAUUAAGUUCAUUAGGAAAAGUGGCCCAACUUUCUAUUCUUGGACCCUAUAACUUUUCAAGAAUACUAAACUCUAUCUCUCUCUCAAAUGUCAAAGAAGUGGUAGACAAGCGUAUAGGGAGAUUUAGUAUAAAUUUUUAGUUUCCAGCAUGUUUACUCACACAACUUAGAUUUAUGUUUAAUUAAAAGUCUUAAUGAGACUCAAAUUCUAAAAUGUGAGAAGGGGGGGGGGCUUAAACAUGAGUAGAUUUAUGAACGAUAAUAUUGAGGAAAAUGGUGUGAACGUAAUACCUAGAGCAUUUAAUUACUUAUGAUGGAAUCUGCUUUUUCUCAAAAUCUCCAUCUCCAACGGAUUAUUUAAGUUGCUUUUUCACCGAAAUCUUCAAUCUGACACAGUUACAUAUUUAAGCCUCAUUGCCUAGCAAGGUUUGACAAACUAAACAAGGAAUCCCAAAACCACUAAACAAAUUGUUUCUUAAGUUUUUUAUUACAAUUAAAGAUUCACUUGAUCAUAUUCAAUCAGUUAUUUCACUUUGUUUACCAUUAUUUAUUAUCUUUUAGGUGUGAUUGUGGUUUGUACAUAGUAAAAUACAUAGAAUGCUUGAGCAUUGACGGUCUAGUAGAACAAGUUAAUGGCUUCUAUGUAAAUAGAUUGGGGGAGAAAAUGACUACUGAUACUUUUGCACUUUCUUGUUAUUUCAUCAAUAUCAAUUUGUGUUACUUGGUUUUCCAUAAAUUUCUAUUUUGUAUCCAUUGAUUGAAAUAUUUGUUUUCUAAUCUGGCUUUUUCUGUUAAGUUUCUUUUUCUAUUGCACCAUCAACUUAUUUUCUAAUCUGGCUUUUUCUCUAUAAAUCUUGUAGAAAGUUCUAUAAAUAUAAAGGCUUUAAUAAAGUGGAAGAGGUUUGAAAUGACAAAGAAGACAAUUUGAAGCUGUGGGACAAGGUGAAAACUCUAGAACCUUUGCAGCCAUAUGCAAAACCAAGAAGCUCAUUUCCUAGUAAUGUGUGCAAGUCUCUAUUCAUGUGUCUUGAAAUUACUGCCCCGUCUACUAACAAAUUGAAUAUCAUUGAUUACUAUUAGCCACGGAAAAUUGUAUCUUUAGUUAGUUAAAUCAUGUUAUUGUCUAUAUAAUUUACAAGAUCCAUGUUUAUGUGUACCUUAUGCAUUUUUGCUGUGUUAUUUGUUUUUCAUAUUUACACAUAUCUGCACAUGAUGAUUUUUAAACGCUUCCAUUGUGCGUAUAGAAAUUAUAGAGAUUGCCGUGCUUGGGGGAAAUUCAAUUCAAUUCAAAAGUUGUUAAGAGAAUUCAUAAGAUAAAUUAAAGAGAGGGGAAAAAUUUAAGUAGUUAGAUGUAAUCCUUCCAUUAUUUUGUGCUCUUGGAUAAGAAAAUAUGUUUAGAGAGCCAUUCAAAUUCUUUCUUAUAUUCACCUCGCAUUUUGAUUAUCGAAAUCUUUGUUGUUUACUAUGAUAUCAUUACCUUGUUGUGGUUUUCAUAUUGUUGUGCAUAUCUGAAUGAGUUGCUAAUAUUGUCAUGCCAUUUGUAGGAUGACAUAAAUAUACAUUCGUAAUCAAUGUAAUGCAAAGGUCAUAACACGUUCCAACGUUUCAAAUGUGGAGAAGGUACACGAUGCAUUAGACGAUGUACAUAACGUGUCAAACGUGGAGAAAUUAUACAAUGCCGAUAUUUUUGUCCUUGAUUAUAAUCUGUAGGACCUUUUGAUGUACUACUGUCGUUUCGUAAAAACGACAGUGCCCAUUUUCCUAAACACGAUGUAUAAGGUGAGAAUCAAACUUCUAACAUUAUAAAUCGUGUUUGGUUUCGACUUUUUAGUUUAAAUGAAUAAGAAGAUAAACU
rnacentral:lncRNA from 1 species